UUAGACAGAAACGUUUAUUUUUACAUUAACAUUUACUAGUUAGACAAUGGUGUGGUAUUUUUCGACUAAAAACUUAUCGUUACGGUUCAUAAAAAUAUUGUGCCUACCUUGUUUUAUUUAUAACUCACCUAACAAUAAUCGGUUUUUUCCUAUUAGCAAAAAACCAUAUCUCUAGAAGGGAAUGCCUUCCAUAGUUUAUUGCCAAAUUAAAUAUUUUAAGUCAUAUGGAAAUGGUACAAUUAAAUAGACUUAUUCGGUUCUCUUGUUAAAUUUAUUAUUUAUAAUUUUACAUACGCUGUUGCUACAAACAAAACAAAUAAUUUAUUCAAAUUUUUGUCAGUGCUAGACAUAUUAAUUUUCACGAUAAUAUAGACUUUGAUUUAGAAGGCAAUUGACACUCGAGAUACUAGACUUCGUUUUUCGUCCUGACUUUUAUUUUAAGUCAAUAUGUAGUUCUUUUUGUGGCUUUACACAUGACUAAAUAUACGGUGUCUAUGCUCUAUAAUAGCUUUUACAUUUCAGUGAAUUUCAACCAUAGUGUAAGCGUAAUUCCUUUAAAUUCAUUGAAAUUAAUUUAAAUUGUUUCUGUUAAAAUUUGUUAUGAUAAUAAUUAAGGAAUUCGAAAACAGUAUAACAUGUUAUCCGAUACAAUACUCAUGGCUAUAUAUGAAAUGUAGGCGAAGUUUAGAAUCUAUAAAAUUAAUUAAAUGGAUGCUUAAUUUUUUCGUAAACUAAUGUGUACAAACUUAUCAUUAUUUUACUUUACAUUUUUUUGUAUAGAUAAUUGCGACCUUAGCUUGAUCAAAAAUAAUUACUUAGAAAUAAUUGGACGGUUUCAGUCUAGAAAAAUUCACCAAAAUUACUAUGUACACUUGUACAUUUGUUUGUUUUUCAUCAUACAAAAACGUUUUCGUUUCAAAAAGACCAAAACUGAUACUAGGUUAAUAUAAAGUUUAAAUAAAUUUCUUUAUGAAUUAUUUGCACACCCAUAUUUCAUGUCAAUAGUUUUUGUUUGAUUUAACCCAUUAGAUAUUUAGUAUUUCGUUACAAUUUUAAUCCAUUUAAUAUUACUGGAGUGUACUAUAAAAUUCGUAGAAAAUAUUUUGUCGCUAAAAUUAUUUAAUUACCGUAUGCGCCGUAUAGAAACAUAAAAAUAUUCAAAGAAUUUAAAAGUUUUAAUGCAUAGUAGUACUUAUUACAGUCAUUCAUGCUUCCAGUUUGAACAAGAUGAUCUUCAUUUUUCAAUAACUUUUCUUUUAUUUUUCAAUAAGAAACAAAAAGCAGUUUGAGACUUCAAAAUAGAAUAAAAAUUCUCGUCGACUAUUGAAGACGUUAACUGGAUGGACGCCUCACCCAAGACUUGAAAGUUGAGGGCGACUACCACAGAAUAGGCCCUAAUCAGUGCCUGAAAUUUUUCGCGCAAUAUGUGAGGCCGAAUUGUGUUCACGAGUCCCUCAGGUAACGAUGAGAUCGUUGUUUUAUUCAUUGUUAUUCCCCUGGAAAUGCGUUUUGAUGUCGAAAUAUCACCUUUGAAAAAACACGUUAUACUUGACCAUUAGAGGAAGAUACCGAAUUCGUUAGUAAAAACUGUGGUCGGUGGUUGGGUGGGUGGGUUGGUAGUGUAUCAUAAAGAAAAAUUUUUUUUCAAUUUUGUUAACACGUAUUCUUUAAAUGGUUUCAGGAUGCUUAGUAUUUCUACGAUAGUGUACCAGCAGAUAUCGUAUUUUGCAUAAUUUCCUACCUACUACUUUUUGUAUCCAGGUUAAAAAUUCAUCUAGUAAGGAUUUUGCUUCUUUUCAUUUUGAUUAAGAAAUAUCAAAUCGAUUCAACUUUAAUUCCAUUCAAGUUUUUUAAACAUGACCAUCUCUAGUACAUCUCAAAUGAUUUAAACUCUAUUACUAUCUUUUUACCUAACUCAAUCCUUUGAACUUUAAGAAAUGUUGUACAACACAAUUCGGAUUUUUACAACAAACAUCAUAAUUUAUGUCGCCAAAGCUUGUUCAAAAAAAAUAAUCUGCUACUUAAUUUUAAAAUAAUUUAAACUCACUAAAUGCUCUACGAAGGUUUAUUUUUACCAUGUCACACAAUCCAUAAAGGAAUAUUGGCUAAAUUACAGCGAGGUUAUUAUUCCAGGAAUUUUAAUUACCAUGAAUUAAAAGAUGCGUUCAUUUUUUUUUACUAAAUCUAAGUUAAAAGAAAAAAUUUAGAACGUCGAAAGACUUUGUGUUCUGGUUUAAGAAAGUAAACCAAUAAAUAUUAAGGGUUCAUAUUAGAUGAUUUUAGAUUACUAUUCAUGCUAUGUAUUCAUUGAUUUCGGUUAACGUUUUCUUCUUCGCAA